rnacentral:rRNA from 1 species
CUAUUUAUAGGAUUAGCUGCUCCGUCCCAUGUGGCCUGUAAAAAGGAAUCCUGCACCGCCCACCCUUGUUAAUUAAAUUUAACGUUACCUUGGUAGGCCAGCCUACCAGUGGACAAACAAAAUUCUUUUAAACAACGCUGUAAUUAGUUUAUUUUCUGAUAAAUUUUUAAAAUUUAAAACUUUCAACAACGGAUCUCUUGGUUCUGGCAUCGAUGAAGAACGCAGCGAAAUGCGAUAAGUAGUGUGAAUUGCAGAAUUCAGUGAAUCAUCGAAUCUUUGAACGCACAUUGCGCCCCUCGGUAUCCCGGGGGGCAUGCCUGUUCGAGCGUCAUUUCUACCAUUCAAGCUUUGCUUGGUUUUGGGUAUUGUAGCACUCUUAACCUGGAGUUUUACAUACCUUAAAUGUAGACGGCAGCAAGUAUAUUAGUUCUGAGCGUAGCAGUAAUAAAUUUCGCUUUUAGACACUAUAUUUGUUAACCGGAAAAGUAUAUCUACAGUUUGACCUCGGAUCAGGCAGGGAUACCCGCUGAACUUAAGCAUAUCAAUAAGCGGAGGAAAAGAAACCAACAGGGAUUGCCUUAGUAACGGCGAGUGAAGCGGCAAUAGCUCAAAUUUGAAAUCUGGCACCUUUGGGUGUCCGAGUUGUAAUUUGUAGAGGAUGUUUCGGUAUUGGCUCUAAUCUAAGUCCCUUGGAACAGGGUGUCAUAGAGGGUGAGAGUCCCGUAUGUGAUUAGUUGUCUUUGCCAUGUGAAACUCCUUCGACGAGUCGAGUUGUUUGGGAAUGCAGCUCUAAUUGGGAGGUAAAUUUCUUCUAAAGCUAAAUACUGGCCAGAGACCGAUAGCGCACAAGUAGAGUGAUCGAAAGAUGAAAAGCACUUUGGAAAGAGAGUUAAACAGUACGUGAAAUUGUUGAAAGGGAAGCGCUUGCAAUCAGACCUGCUUGCAGUUGUUCAUCUAAGCCUUCGGGCCUAGUGCAUUCUUCUGUAAGUCAGGCCAGUAUCAGUUCAGGCGGUUGGAUAAAGAAUUCAGGAAUGUAGCUCCUUUCGGGGAGUGUUAUAGCCUGUUUUGUAAUGCAGCCAGCCUGGAU